UACGUAGGGUGCAAGCGUUAAUCGGAAUUACUGGGCGUAAAGCGUGCGCAGGCGGUUGUGCAAGACAGAUGUGAAAUCCCCGGGCUUAACCUGGGAAUGGCAUUUGGGACUGCAAGGCUGGAGUGCGGCAGAGGAGAACGGAAUUCCCGGUGUAGCGGUGAAAUGCGCAGAUAUCAGGAGGAACACCAACAGCGAAGGCAGCACUCUGGGCCGGUACUGACGCUGAGGAGCGAAAGCAUGGGGAGCGAACAGG
rnacentral:rRNA from 1 species